GCAAGUCGAGGGGCAGCAUUAAAUUUAUUUAUAAUAAAUUUUGAUGGCGACCGGCGUACGGGUGCGUAACACGUACGUAACCUACCUUUUGCUAGAAAAUAGCCUGAGGAAACUUAGAUUAAUGUUCUAUAGUAUAACAGAAUCGCAUGAUUCUGUUAUUAAAGUAGCAAUACGGCAAAAGAUGGGCGUGCGUCCGAUUAGUUAGUUGGUAAGGUAAAGGCUUACCAAGACAGUGAUCGGUAGGGGGCCUGAGAGGGUGAUCCCCCACACUGGUACUGAGACACGGACCAGACUCCUACGGGAGGCAGCAGUGAGGAAUAUUGGUCAAUGGAGGAAACUCUGAACCAGCCACGCCGCGUGCAGGAAGAAUGCCUUACGGGUUGUAAACUGCUUUUGUUUAGGAAUAAAAAUUCUUACGUGAUAAGGAUUGUGAAUGUACUAUACGAAUAAGUGUCGGCAAACUCCGUGCCAGCAGCCGCGGUAAUACGGAGGACACGAGCGUUAUCCGGAUUUAUUGCGGUUUAAAGGGUGCGUAGGCGGUUUAUUAAGUCAGUAGUGAAAUAUUGCAGCUUAACUGUUAAAAUGGCUAUUGAUACUGAUAGACUUGAGUGAGAUUGGAGUAGCUGGAAUGUGUGUGUAGCGGUGAAAUGCAUAGA
rnacentral:rRNA from 1 species